rnacentral:lncRNA from 1 species
GGUUGCUUGGCAACCAGAGGGUGACAGUUUGAGGAGCUCAGGGAGCUUUGACAAUGUGACUUCAAGAUAGGUGAAGGACAGUAGGAGGCACUGAGUCUGCUGAAAGGAAUCGCAACAUGGAAGCAUCAUUUAAAUAAAGAUUCAUCUCUCUGUGUGAUGAUUCUAAGGAGAUUAUUCAGGAGUGUACAAGACACACACUUAGAUAUUGGAGAAUAUUGGAAAGAGAGGAAAGGCAGAGGCCAGGGACGCAACUGGAAGAAGCAGCAGAGAUCAAAGUAUUGGGGAGGAGCUGACACGUUAUCUUUCCUUGAAUGA